UACGGAGGGGGCUAGCGUUGUUCGGAAUUACUGGACGUAAAGCGCACGUAGGCGGCUUUGUAAGUUAGAGGUGAAAGCCCAGGGCUCAACCCUGGAAUUGCCUUUAAGACUGCAUCGCUUGAACAUCGGAGAGGUAAGUGGAAUUCCGAGUGUAGAGGUGAAAUUCGUAGAUAUUCGGAAGAACACCAGUGGCGAAGGCGACUUACUGGACGAUUGUUGACGCUGAGGUGCGAAAGCGUGGGGAGCAAACAGG
rnacentral:rRNA from 1 species